AAACCAUGUUCUGGACACUUCUCUAAGAGGUCCUUGAAUUGCUCCCAUGUCUCAAACAAGUGUUCAAGCUCCAUCUGAACAAAUGAUGAUAUUUCAUUAUGAAGCUU